rnacentral:rRNA from 1 species
UGUGACAAAAUAUACAAGGUCCAGCCUGCCCAGUGAUUUAUUUAACGGCCGCGGUACCCUAACCGUGCGAAGGUAGCACAAUCACUUGUUCCUUAAAUAGGGACUAGUAUGAAUGGCAUCACGAGGGUUAUUCUGUCUCCCCCUUUUAAUCAGUGAAACUGAUCUCCCCGUGAAGAAGCGGGGAUAUCAAUAUAAGACGAGAAGACCCCAUGGAGCUUUAAACUCAGAAACACCAGCUAUUUUUAAACCAAACCAAUACGCCUCCCUGAUUUCUAGUUUUCGGUUGGGGUGACCACGGAGUACAACACAACCUCCUUGAUGAAAGGAACUAUUUCCUUAUUUAAGAACUACAGUUCUAAAAAUCAAUACAUUGACAAAAAUUGAUCCAAAUUAUUUUGAUCAACGAACCAAGUUACCCUGGGGAUAACAGCGCAAUCCAUUUCAAGAGCUCAUAUCAACAAAUGGGUUUACGACCUCGAUGUUGGAUCAGGGUAUCCCAGUGGUGCAGCCGCUACUAAAGGUUCGUUUGUUCAACGAUUAAAACCCU